GGAUUUAUUGGGUUUAAAGGGUGCGUAGGCGGAUUAAUAAGUCAGCGGUGAAACUCACAGGCUCAACCUGUGCCGUGCCGUUGAAACUGCUUAUCUCGAAUGCGGAUGCUGUGGGAGGAAUGUGUAGUGUAGCGGUGAAAUGCAUAGAUAUUACACAGAACACCGAUUGCGAAGGCAUCUCACAAAGCCGUGAUUGACGCUGAGGCACGAAAGUGUGGGGAUCAAACAGGAUUAGAUACCCUGGUAGUCCACUACUGUAAACGAUGAUAACUCGCUGCCGGCGAUAUAAAGUCGGUGGCCCAGCGAAAGCGAUAAGUUAUCCACCUGGGGAGUACGACCGCAAGGUUGAAACUCAAAGGAAUUGACGGGGGCCCGCACAAGCGGAGGAACAUGUGGUUUAAUUCGAUGAUACGCGAGGAACCUUACC
rnacentral:rRNA from 1 species